rnacentral:rRNA from 1 species
CAAUAGCGUAUAUUUAAGUUGCUGCAGUUAAAAAGCUCGUAGUUGGAUUUCGGGUGGGAAUGGCCGGUCCGCCGUUUCGGUGUGCACUUGCUACGCCCACCUUGCUGCCGGGGACGUGCUCUUGAGUUCACGCUCGGGACACGGAGUCGGCGAGGUUACUUUGAGUAAAUUAGAGUGUUCAAAGCAGGCCUACGCUCUGAAUACAUUAGCAUGGAAUAACACGAUAGGACUCUGGCCUAUCUUGUUGGUCUGUAGGACCGGAGUAAUAAUUAAGAGGGACAGUCGGGGGCAUUCGUAUUUCAUUGUCAGAGGUGAAAUUCUUGGAUUUAUGAAAGACGAACUACUGCGAAAGCAUUUGCCAAGGAUGUUUUCAUUAA